rnacentral:rRNA from 1 species
AGUGGCGAACGGGUGAGUAACACGUGGGCAACCUGCCCAAAAGAGGGGGAUAACACUUGGAAACAGGUGCUAAUACCGCAUAACCAUAGUUACCGCAUGGUAACUAUGUAAAAGGUGGCUAUACUACCGCUUUUGGAUGGGCCCGCGGCGCAUUAGCUAGUUGGUAGGGUAAAGGCUUACCAAGGCAAUGAUGCGUAGCCGAAUUGAGAGGUUGAUCGGCCACAUUGGGACUGAGACACGGCCCAAACUCCUACGGGAGGCAGCAGUAGGGAAUCUUCCACAAUGGGCGAAAGCCUGAUGGAGCAACGCCGCGUGGGUGAAGAAGGUCUUCGGAUCGUAAAACCCUGUUGUUAGAGAAGAAAGUGCGUGAGAGUAACUGUUCACGUUUCGACGGUAUCUAACCAGAAAGCCACGGCUAACUACGUGCCAGCAGCCGCGGUAAUACGGAGGAUGCGAGCGUUAUCCGGAUUUAUUGGGUUUAAAGGGUGCGCAGGCGGGCUGUUAAGCCGGCGGUAAAAAUUCAGGGCUCAACCCUGUCGAGCCGUCGGAACUGGCAGUCUUGAGUGGGCGAGAAGUAUGCGGAAUGCGUGGUGUAGCGGUGAAAUGCAUAGAUAUCACGCAAAACGCCGAUUGCGAAGGCAGCAUACCGGCGCCCAACUGACGCUNAGGCACGAAGCGUGGGGAUCGAACAGGAUUANAUACCCUGNUA